UGGACCUGUGAAGAGAAAGUGUCUAUGAACAAAAGAUCAUGAUUAAUCCAGUUCUGCACAACAUCCGAAGGUCCAUU